rnacentral:misc_RNA from 1 species
UCGAGCGUCAGUACAACACUCAAGCCUCGCUUGGUCUUGGGCCUCGCCGGAAGCGGCGGGCCUUAAAAUCAGUGGCGGCGCCUGUUGGGCCCUAAGCGUAGUAAUACCCCUCGCUCCAGGGACCCGGCGGACGCUGGUCAGCAACCCCCCAACUUUCUAAGUUUGACCUCGGAUCAGGUAGGGAUACCCGCUGAACUUAA